AUUGAACGCUGGCGGCAUGCUUUACACAUGCAAGUCGAACGGCAGCACAGGGAGCUUGCUCCUGGGUGGCGAGUGGCGAACGGGUGAGUAAUGUAUCGGAACGUGCCUGGUAGUGGGGGAUAACUACUCGAAAGAGUGGCUAAUACCGCAUGAGAUCUUUGGAUGAAAGCGGGGGACCUUCGGGCCUCGUGCUACUGGAGCGGCCGAUAUCAGAUUAGGUUGUUGGUGGGGUAAAGGCCUACCAAGCCUGCGAUCUGUAGCUGGUCUGAGAGGACGACCAGCCACACUGGGACUGAGACACGGCCCAGACUCCUACGGGAGGCAGCAGUGGGGAAUUUUGGACAAUGGGCGCAAGCCUGAUCCAGCAAUGCCGCGUGCAGGACGAAGGCCUUCGGGUUGUAAACUGCUUUUGUACAGAACGAAAAGUCUCUGGCUAAUAUCUAGAGAUCAUGACGGUACUGUAAGAAUAGGCACCGGCUAACUACGUG
rnacentral:rRNA from 1 species